rnacentral:rRNA from 1 species
GUGGGGAAUAUUGGACAAUGGGCGAAAGCCUGAUCCAGCCAUGCCGCGUGUGUGAAGAAGGUCUUCGGAUUGUAAAGCACUUUAAGUUGGGAGGAAGGGCAGUAAGUUAAUACCUUGCUGUUUUGACGUUACCGACAGAAUAAGCACCGGCUAACUUCGUGCCAGCAGCCGCGGUAAUACGAAGGGUGCAAGCGUUAAUCGGAAUUACUGGGCGUAAAGCGCGCAUAGGUGGUUCAGCAAGUUGGAGGUGAAAUCCCCGGGCUCAACCUGGGAACUGCCUCCAAAACUACUGAGCUAGAGUACGGUAGAGGGUAGUGGAAUUUCCUGUGUAGCGGUGAAAUGCGUAGAUAUAGGAAGGAACACCAGUGGCGAAGGCGACUACCUGGACUGAUACUGACACUGAGGUGCGAAAGCGUGGGGAGCAAACAGGAUUAGAUACCCCGGUAGUCC